rnacentral:rRNA from 1 species
GUUCGGUUAAGUCCGCUAACGAGACGCAACCCUCACUGUGUGUUACAAGUGUCACACGGGACUGCCGGUUUAAGCCGGAGGAAGGCGAGGAUGACGUCAAGUCAGCAUGGCCUUUAUAUCUUGGGCUACACACACGCUACAAUGGUCUGUACAAUAGGUUGCCAAGCCGCGAGGCGGAGCCAAGUCCUAAAAGCAGGCCUCAGUUCAGAUUGCAGGCUGCAACCCGCCUGCAUGAAGAUGGAGUUGCUAGUAACCGCAGGUCAGCUAUACUGCGGUGAAUACGUUCCCGGGUCUU